rnacentral:lncRNA from 1 species
CCAAACACAAAGAAGGAAGCUUUGACCUCUCCUAAAACCAAAGCCAAACAGAGGCUUUAAAGGCCAAGAAGGCAGUGCUAAAAAACAUUCAUGCCAAAAAACAAAUGAAAAUUGCAUAUCAUCCACAUUUCAGUGGAAUAAGAUACUGUGGCUCUCAAGGCAGCCCAAAUUCUCUAAGAGCACCACCAGGGGAAACAAGCCUGACCACUACUCCAUCAUCAAAUUUCCCCUGACAAUGGAGUUGGCCAUGGAGAAGAUCAAAGGCAACAGCACACUUAUGUUCACUGUAGACAUCAAGGCCAAUAAGCACCAGAUCAAACAAGCUGUGAUGAAGCUCUAUGACCUUGACUGGCCAAGGUCGACACCCUGAUCUGGUCUGAUUGAGUGAAGAGGAGUGCAUUUGAUCUGCCCUAAGAUGCUUUGGAUAUUACCAGCAAAAUUGCGAUCAUGUAA